rnacentral:rRNA from 1 species
AGUGGGGAAUCUUGGACAAUGGGCGCAAGCCUGAUCCAGCCAUGCCGCGUGGAUGAUGAAGGCCCUAGGGUUGUAAAAUCCUUUCGUUGGGGACGAUAAUGACGGUACCCAAAGAAGAAGCUCCGGCUAACUUCGUGCCAGCAGCCGCGGUAAUACGAAGGGGGCUAGCGUUGUUCGGAUUUACUGGGCGUAAAGCGCGUGUAGGCGGGUCGUUAAGUUGGGGGUGAAAUCCCGGAGCUCAACUCCGGAACUGCCUCCAAAACUGGCGACCUGGAGCAAGAUAGAGGCGAGUGGAAUUCCGAGUGUAGAGGUGAAAUUCGUAGAUAUUCGGAGGAACACCAGUGGCGAAGGCGACUCGCUGGAUCUUUGCUGACGCUGAGAUGCGAAAGCGUGGGGAGCAAA